rnacentral:rRNA from 1 species
CCAACAGGGAUUGCCCUAGUAACGGCGAGUGAAGCGGCAACAGCUCAAAUUUGAAAUCUGGCUUUCGGGCCCGAGUUGUAAUUUGUAGAGGAUACUUUUGAUGCGGUGCCUUCCGAGUUCCCUGGAACGGGACGCCAUAGAGGGUGAGAGCCCCGUCUGGUUGGAUGCCAAAUCUCUGUAAAGUUCCUUCGACGAGUCGAGUAGUUUGGGAAUGCUGCUCUAAAUGGGAGGUAUAUGUCUUCUAAAGCUAAAUAUUGGCCAGAGACCGAUAGCGCACAAGUAGAGUGAUCGAAAGAUGAAAAGCACUUUGAAAAGAGAGUUAAAAAGUACGUGAAAUUGUUGAAAGGGAAGCGUUUAUGACCAGACUUGGACUUGGUUAAUCAUCUGGGGUUCUCCCCAGUGCACUUUUCCAGUUCAGGCCAGCAUCAGUUUUCGCCGGGGGAUAAAGGCUUCGGGAAUGUAGCUCUCUUCGGGGAGUGUUAUAGCCCGUUGUGUAAUACCCUGGCGGAGACUGAGGUUCGCGCUUCUGCAAGGAUGCUGGCGUAAUGGUCAUCAACGACCCGUCUUGAAACACGGACCAAGGAGUCGUCUUCGUAUGCGAGUGUUCGGGUGUCAAACCCCUACGCGUAAUGAAAGUGAACGCAGGUGAGAGCUUCGGCGCAUCAUCGACCGAUCCUGAUGUUCUCGGAUGGAUUUGAGUAAGAGCAUACGGGGCCGGACCCGAAAGAAGGUGAACUAUGCCUGUAUAGGGUGAAGCCAGAGGAAACUCUGGUGGAGGCUCGCAGCGGUUCUGACGUGCAAAUCGAUCGUCAAAUAUGGGCAUGGGGGCGAAAGACUAAUCGA